CUUGUCAGUAUUUAGCAUUGCUGUUACAGCUGCUUGCUUUUUCUUCUGGAAGGGUCCUUAAACCAUCAGUAAGAAUGCCAAAUAAUACCUCCCCUUUUGUUCUGGUGGAAGAAAAUAAAGGAAACAUUUUUCCUGGGAAAAAAAUGUUUUUGAGAAGUCCUGCAAAAGUUUUUCUGUCAUGUGCUGAUUUCAAGAAGUUCAACCUUUAAUUUAUCCGGAGGUUAUGCAUGUGCAGUGGUAAAACUAUACUGGAAGUCUGUUAGCCAAAGCCAUAAAUCUCCAGUUAGAAGUGAAUGACAGGUGGGAUUGGAGGAAAAAAGCAGUUUUCUUUGGCACGCUGAACCAAAACUGACAUGCAUUCUGUCUGGGUCCCUGCUGUCCGCCUGUUCCUGGAUGACAUGAGAGGAGUUGAUGCCUUUUUGUUUUUUGUUUUAGUGGCUGGAAAAGCAGAGAAGUUGGUCACCUGAAGAGAGACCGUGUGUACUUUCUGUGGGCUCAGGAAGACCAUGCUGUGUUUCUAAAUUGAUUCUAGUAAAAUUCCAAUCAUAAAUUCAAUGUCAUCUCUGCUGUACUGAGUGUACGCUCAUCAUUCUUAAGGCUGAAAUUCUGUAGAAACUAGGUUUCAGGCAGUCUUUUGUUUCACGCUGGUACGUAGAGGAGGAAUGCAAGGUCUUAAGUUCUUACGAUGACUUUUUCAGAGGAAGCGGCUGAGAUGCUGAUGUGGGAACUUGCCAAGGUGAGGCACUAGGGCUGGGACAGGGCAGAGAGUGGAAUAUAGGUCUUCUGAGUCUCAUCCUGUGCUGUUAAGUGUGAGACUAUCUUUCCUCCCUAGUAUAUAGUUUUAGCUGAAUAUAUUGUUAAGACCCUUUUAAUGGAGUUCUGCGCUUAAAGAAGCAGCACCCAAGCCUGCCCUCGGAGGCUUGUAGAAUGAAAGAAGCAGGGCUGGAACAGGAGGAGCUGCUUCUCUCAGGUCUGAGCUCAUGUACAUAUUUUACCAGUUCCUGUAGUGUCUUAAUCAGAUGAUAUUAUGUAUUAACAUAUGGAUGAGGGAGGGGUUCCCAUUUCUUACUCUUCUUCUGUGCACCUGCACUCCCAGUGUUAUAGCUCAGCAGUUCAGUCAUGCAACUUGAGCAUUUUUGAGUUUUUUUGGACUACAUUGAGAAGAGCAUUUCCAGGUUUGCCACGGUGUUCUUUCUGGAGUAUUUCUGAGUUUUAAGUGACAGCUCAGUAAGUAUUUACACAAUGUGGGCAUGAGCUUUCUGUAGUGAAAUGUAAAGGAUGCUACAUAAUGAUAGGUAAACUUAGUAAGAGCUACUUCAGAAUUUCUCAGCAAAUAAUUUUUUUGCUAUAUAUGUUCAGAGUAAAAUGAUAACUGUAGCAGAACCUAAUUUCUAAUGUUCAUGAUUUUGGGGAGAGAAAAAAAGGACAGAAGUGGGUAGGAGCAAAUAAAGAAGGGGAUCGGUUCAUUCUGUAAAUACUCAUGGUAAAGAAAUUUCUUUAUGGGAGGGUGAGAGAGUGAAGAUAGAGAGUGUAUGUGUUAAUUCCUAUGAAAUUCCCAUGAAAAAUCAGUUUGUGUAAAUAACUCUGAAAAAGCUACUGCUCCAUUACAGUUAUUGGCAUUUCAUGCAAUAACCAGCAUGUCAUUAUUUCCUUAAGUUAGCUAUAGUAAUUGAAACCCUUUCAAAGACAAAUUAAAUUGCUGCUAACUUUUUCUUUUAUUUUUUCCCCCCUUUUUCUUUUUUUAAACUUAAGUAAUUUCCUUUUGCUCCUGGAUAAUUAAUAUUAUGCCCGAACUGUCCCAAGAAGCUGCAAGUUAGACAUGGAGAGUAGUUUUUAGAGAAGCUGUGGGGGACCCUGACACAGCCAGUAUCCCCUCUGUGUGGAGCAGACCCCUGCUGCUCGUUCCUGCUGUGGGCUUGCCCUGUGUUUUGUGGGUGCAUUUGACUGUGUGGUGAACCAGAGGGCACUGAAGAACGCAUCUGCCUUUUUGGUGGGAUGUGAUGGUGACAUCCUGGAUGUGGCCGGGAGGAGAGGGCGUUUUGAUGGUCACUGAUGUCUGACCGUGGCCUAAGGUAGCUGUGAGUUUCCAUCCUGAGAGAUUCUGCAACUCUUCUCAAAGAGAAAUUCUUGAAUUUCGGAGGACUCUGGAAUUUCCCCCUGGGGACAAUUACUGGGUUAAACAAGUACUUUCCCCCCUUUCCACUCACUUGUGAAAUUUCAUUCAGGUUUGACUAAGAGAAACCCUGAAAAUUACCAUUUCCCUUCUGAUGUCAGCACUGUUCUGGCACCCUGCCUGUGAAUAACUGAACAGGAAUGUUUUAAAACCUGCGCUCAGGCCACAGUUACAGCUGCAGCUACACCUCCAGACGCUGUGGUGGGAGACCUGCUCUGCCCCGGCCAGGGCUGAAAUUUAGGAUACGCUCAGACCGGUGCAUAAUACAGCCAACUCAAAUUUUCGACAGUGGGUUUGUACUUUCUUAACACUAUUAGUGUCCAGAGCAGUAGUUUCAGCAGUGUGAAUAUGGUCUGAGAAGUGUGAGGCACAGAAGAGGGAGGGGUACCUGCUCUGAAAAUAGCCAUUCUGUUCUGGGUUUGUGGCACUGAUUUUGGUCUUUUUGGUGAGGAGAAUGUGCAUUGUAGUCUGUGCUGCCUGUAAAAUCUUGCUGUUGGUUUGUUGUCUGCAUUGUUUUUGUAGGUGACUAUAUUUUUCUUGUUGAACAGAGGUCUGGAUCUGAAUUUGAAAGGUCAUGUAGCCUGCUGUCCUGCUUCAGGGCAGGAUCAGCUAUACCUGAGAACAGGGCAGACAGCGAUGAAUGCAAUGGAGCUGCCUCAGUCUGUUUCAGUGCUUUGCUACCCUUAGCAUUGGACAUUAGGAAAAAUAUUCCAACUCAGAUCAUCUUAACUGAGUAUCUCUUGUCCUAGUCUCUCUAGAUUACUGUGCUCGCUGGGGAUUGCGUUGAAGGGAUUGGACUGUCCUGCUUUGUCACCUGAACUUCUUCCAGGAUCCUGGAGCUGACCGGGCUCACUCUGUACUUCUCUGUAUGGGAUCCUUCCUGUAGGCUUGUUUAGAGUUUUGUACUUCAUAACAGUCUGAGGAUGGAUUUAAAGUCCAAAUGACUAGGACUAUGCACCCUGUACAAGCUUAGGAGGAGAAUCUGGUAUUCAUUAACUGUAUGUAAAUAAUUAAACCAGUGCCAGACUAGAGGUGGUCUUCCCUCAGACAUACUCCUUGUGAAAUGGUUUGAGGAAAAGUUCUUACCUUUGUGCAGAAGAUACAUUGAAACGGUAGAAGUGCUGGAAUUAGUUAAAACUUGAUAAAUUUGUUAUUUCUUUAAGUAUAUCUGACUUUGGAGCUGGCAUGGCUAAUCAAGGAAAAGGCUUCCCAUUCAAGGCCAGUUUGCUGAGCAUGAUCACGUGUUCUCAGAAACUGCCUUUUUGUUGUGCUGUGGCUGCACGUGUUGUGUCAGUAGUCUAAGGAGUACUGGAGUCCUGCCCUUCAGGCUGGGGUAGCUGUGUGGGUGGGGGGUUUAUUUUUUUAAUAAAAAAAAACCCCAAACUCAUUUGCUUACUGUUGCGUGGGGGGCUUGUGGUAAUUGUAGUGCUUUGGAUCCCCUGGAAAAGAUUCAGGGCAGCUGCUGCAUGUAACAGAUUUGAACUUUUUUUUUUUUUUUUUUUUUUUAAAUUGUGUGUGGAUAAUUGGACAGUGUUGUGAUAGGAAGCAUUUAAGUAUCAGAGUAUCUCCUAGUCUUUCAGUUUAUUGUGAUAGACCAGCGAGGCUAGUAUGAGCAGUUCUCCACGUCUCAGAAGGCUUUCAUUGCCUCCGCACCCUGCAGCUGGGUGCAUGGGAAAUCUUCAGAGUAGGUGCUCAAAGCCGUAUCUCUCAAAAUCAAGGUUAAUGCUAUAACUACUAGAUUAUACUUUCUCUCUGGACAUGGGGUUGCACCUGGAACAGUUUUCUUUGGUUUUACAAAAAGUUACCAGGCUGGAAAUGUCAUUUCUAGCUGUCUGUGGGCAGAACGUGGCUCCCCUGGAAUAGGGCACGUUUGUGCGGAAGGGACUUUCAGGUGAUGACUGUGCUAAUCCAGGAUGAGGGUUCAUAACAGAAAUGGCAUACAAAAGCACUCUUAUUCAGCUCCUGCUCUGGAGGAGAAGCAAAGUGCCUGGCUAUCUACUGUCUACUCUUGGAUGCGCAGAAGAAAUUGACAGACCUAUCCCAAAUUGUCCUGCCUGCCUGUACAUUAAAGAUACUUCUAAAGUGCCUUCUUUGGCCUUCCUGUUCGGUUCACAAGGCAUGACAGCAUUGCAAAAGCUUGUUUCCACGUUAAUUGUAAUUGAUUACCCUGCAAUCUAGGACAAGAUUUCCUUUGAAAAGCUAUAUGCUGAUUUGGUGUCAGGAAUUAAAAUCAGAUGAAGUGAUUAGUGUUCUAUGAAAUAUCCCAGAGCAAGUGAGUGCUUCUCGGCUUUCAACUGUGUUUUGGCCUUUAACCCUUGCCUCCCUUCUUCUCCAGAGCAAGGUGCUAACUAAAUCUGUUGUCCGCAUGCUCAGGCGAAUAACUCCUUAGGCAUAUUGUAUCAGGAGAUCGUGGUAUAAUUUGCUGCUGAGCUUCAGAGUGCAGAUUUACUGUCCUUAAUGAUGAAUGCAGCGUGUUGAAAGUGCACUGUGUCAAGGCAACAGUGAUACUUGUACUGAAUGGUGAACAUGUAUUAAGGUUAGCUUUAAAUCUGAUCACUCUGUAAAUGGCAAUAAACUGUUCAGAGUUGUCACUGCUGUCAAGGUA